GACGAACCGAGCGAACGUUGUUCGGAAUCACUGGGCUUAAAGGGCGCGUAGGCGGGGUCAUAAGUCUGUGGUGAAAUCCUCCGGCUCAACCGGAGAACUGCCUCGGAUACUGUGGCUCUCGAGGGUGGUAGGGGUAUGUGGAACUAUCGGUGGAGCGGUGAAAUGCGUUGAUAUCGAUAGGAACUCCGGUGGCGAAGGCGGCAUACUGGACCACUUCUGACGCUGAGGCGCGAAAGCCAGGGGAGCAAACGGG
rnacentral:rRNA from 1 species